GAUGAACGCUAGCGGCAGGCUUAACACAUGCAAGUCGAGGGGUAGAAGUUGCUUGCAACUUUGAGACCGGCGCACGGGUGCGUAACGCGUAUGCAACCUACCUUUUACAGAGGGAUAGCCCAGAGAAAUUUGGAUUAAUACCUCAUAGUAUAUAACCUUCGCAUGUUGGUUAUAUUAAAGUUCCAACGGUAAAAGAUGGGCAUGCGUCCUAUUAGCUAGUUGGUGUGGUAACCGCACACCAAGGCGACGAUAGGUAGGGGUCCUGAGAGGGAGUUCCCCCACACUGGUACUGAGACACGGACCAGACUCCUACGGGAGGCAGCAGUGAGGAAUAUUGGACAAUGGGCGCAGGCCUGAUCCAGCCAUGCCGCGUGCAGGAAGAAGCAUCUAUGGCGUGUAAACUGCUUUUGUACAGGAAGAAACACCCCUUCGUGAAGGGACUUGACGGUACUGUAAGAAUAAGGAUCGGCUAACUCCGUGCCAGCCGCCGCCGUAAGAC
rnacentral:rRNA from 1 species